GGCGGGGCCUGGGUGGGCGGAGCCUCUUGUGACCCACAGAACGCCUGCCCGGUUUGAAACUGGGAUGUCCCACCUACAGCCAGAAGCAGGAAGAAGCUUCUUGAUGGUGACUGGGCCAGACACUGAGCUGAGUACAGGUCUGAUGUAGCUACUGAGGAAUCCCAGAUGGGAUGUGACGAGCUGCUUCAAGCUCCUGCUGCCGCCUUUGAUGGAAUGACUGUACCUUGGACUGUGAGCUAGAUAAAUCUUCCCACCUUAAGUCUCUUUUUGUCAAGGAACAGCCACAGGGAUUGUGGAAAUGUUCCCUGUGACCAGCUCCCACGGCAGAAUGGAAGAGAAGAGGCUGUUUGUUGUUGUAAAAAUAUAAAAUAAAACAAGUA
rnacentral:sRNA from 1 species